UAAAUCUUCAGGUUUUUGACAUGAGGUAUGAAAUGCAAACCACAGCUGUUAGUUUCCACAGUGUACAGGAACUGUGGAAAUACUGCAUCACCACCAUUUGCUUAUUUUUGUUUGACUUCAAGUGCAGAACCUUUGAGGUGCUGUUUCUCAACGGCAGCCUUCCACCAGAAAUAGAACAUCAAAAUAAAAUGCCAACAGAUCAUGAAGAACCCUGUGGCUUCAGUCACAGGUCAUUUUGCCUAAAUGGGGGAAUUUGUUAUGUGAUACCUACUGUUCCCAGCCCAUUUUGUAGGUGCAUUGAGAAUUAUACGGGAGCUCGCUGUGAAGAAGUUUUUCUACCUAGCACCAACAUCCAAACCAAAAGUGAACUGUUUGCAACUUUCUUGGCUUUGGCUAUUCUUCUAGGAGUUCUUACAAUUGGUGCCGUCUACUUCCUUUGCAGGAAGGGCCACCUCCAAAGGGCCAAUUCAGCACAGUAUGGUGUCGGCCUGGUAGAGACGGGCAGCAGCAAUGCCUACAACAACUCAGACGAAGACCUUGUCUUUCAAGAAGACAAAACUUUUUCACCUGAACUCUCUCAUUCAUCCUUACAAGAUCUCAACGUGCAAGAUAGGAGCAUGGAGAAAACUGAAGAACAGCCAAAAUGAACCAAAUUUUUACUUCCAUGUUACAGAUGCAGGAAAUGAGGCUUCAUAAGAUUCCUCUCAACAGGCCCUGGGCCAGGUUGCUGCAACUAAAAAAAAAUCAAGAGUUUGGCUUAAUUACUACGGUUGGCAAGAGAAUAUGAGUUCUUCAUCUCAAAAUGGGAUUUACUGCAAUGGUAACCUGGGCCAGAGACAACUGUGGGCACCAAAAACCUGCAACAGACAUUCUUCCUGCAAUUUUCUGCAGGUUUUAGGGAAUUCUCUCUGAGCGAUGGUUAAAUGUUAUUUCCCCUGA